AAGGGUACAACCUGAGGGAGGAGAGUUUGUUUUCCCAGUGAGCUGUUGCCUGUCCUUUCUGCCAUAAGUCUCUUGUGGUGCCUUCAUGCAUUGCUGCAUCCUUUCCCACCCAUUGGACCUGAACUGCUGUCUGAGCAUUGCUUCAUCACAGCUGGGGGGUAAGCAACAGCCCUGGCAAGAGAAGUUCAGCAGCAUUGAACACUUCCCCUGCUUCCCAAGACUGAACUCUUCCCCAAAGUUGCCAGCCAAGCACAGGAUGCCCCAGGCAUUUUAAAGCCGAGUAAAUAGCCCAGUUAAAAGCAGUCGUUCAGCCUCUGAGCAGACAUAACGCUGUGCCCAGCUGGUCUGAGGAUCCCAGGAAGUCUUGCUAUCAGCUUGCACUGCAGGAAUGGGCAUAUCUGCUCUCACCAAUGUCACUAACCCAUGUGCAGCUGUAUUCAGCUCCUCUCAUUCUUGUCAUGCAGGCCUCCCGCGGGUGCGAAGUGGGGGUUGCAGAGAGGGUCUCCAUGCUGGUGUCUGGGCCGAGUUGGUGAGGUCUGGGGAAAACCACCAGGAAGCUGUAGGAUCUGUUUUUGGUGUGUUCUUAGAAAUAGCUGUGUGUCUUUAGAGUUUGUGGCUAUGUUCUGCGCUGGUUUUGUGGCUCUUGAGAUGAGGGGAACGAGAUUGGAGAAGCAGUGACAAUGCUCUUCCACAGGAGGAAUAUGGAGUUUGAUUCUUCUGUGAUUUUAUAUGCAACUUCUCUAACUCAUGCCAUAGCUUUCUGCCGCUUACUAAAUGCGGCUUUCAAGCUGGAGGCUUUUAGAUGAUUUGUGGUCUUUCCAAAAAGCCCCAACAGAACUUGAAACGUGUUUUGGUAAA